rnacentral:rRNA from 1 species
UACGGGGGGGGCAAGCGUUGUUCGGAAUUACUGGGCGUAAAGCGCACGCAGGUGGCUGAGUCAGUCGAUUGUGAAAGCCCUGGGCUUAACCUGGGAAUUGCAGUCGAUACUACUCGGCUCGAGUAUGGGAGAGGGCAGUGGAAUUCCCGGUGUAGCGGUGAAAUGCGUAGAUAUCGGGAGGAACAUCAGUGGCGAAGGCGGCUGCCUGGCCCAAUACUGACACUCAGGUGCGACAGCGUGGGGAGCAAACAGG